rnacentral:rRNA from 1 species
CACGGGAAAUCUUACCGGGUCCGGACAUACCGAGGAUUGACAGACAGUUAUUUUGCAACUACCUGCAGAGUUCUAAACUUAAGAGCUCUUUCAUGAUUAUAUGAUAGGUGGUGCAUGGCCGUUCUUAGUUCGUGGAGUGAUCUGUCUGCUUAAUUGCGUUUCAAAAUUUUGUACUGAGUGACAAGGUGCUGCUGUCGAAACUGUCUAGGCCGAGUGUGAACUGUAUGUCUUUUGAUAUGCGACCAUCACUCAUAGACGUUAUGUUUUGGUGGUAGCCCUUGGUGCUCAUUUGAACGCAACGGACGUGAUUGCAACCCCUUGUUGAGAUUGAUUGGAUCUCUACGUCUACUGAACCAAACAGUUUAGCGAUUGUUUG